GGCUGCGAACACUAAACACCGUAGUGUGGUUGUUGGAUUGGGGAUACUAAUUUGCCGCGAAUGAACACCUAUUGAUAGCAGUCAUUGCUGAACAGGUUCUAAUACAUUGUUUAAAGUACUCUGGAAGAUUCCGUACACGGAUGUUCGUUAUUCGGGGGAAAUACGCCAUUCAGGGCUUUUAUUAUCGGCUUCCGGGAAUCACCAUCAAUGGACCCUGAACGAACAGCAUCUAUUGCUUCGUAGGUGAAAGAAAAAAAAAAAAACGGGUGAAGAGCCAUUAGAAGAGCAGGACGAACGACGCAGGAAAUGUGUUUUUUUUAGUGUAGAAAAUGAUUAUGUCAGUGAUGGAUGUCGUUGAAAAUGAAUAAAAAAUGGAAGUGAAAAGGAGUUUAAUAAAAAAUAAA